rnacentral:rRNA from 1 species
CAGUCGCCGCGGUAACACGAAGGGUGCAAGCGUUACUCGGAAUUACUGGGCGUAAAGCGUGCGUAGGUGGUUGUUUAAGUCUGCUGUGAAAGCCCUGGGCUCAACCUGGGAAUUGCAGUGGAUACUGGGCGACUAGAGUAAGGUAGAGGAUAGUGGAAUUUCCGGUGUAGCAGUGAAAUGCGUAGAGAUCGGAAGGAACAUCUGUGGCGAAGGCGACUAUCUGGGCCAUUACUGACACUGAGGCACGAAAGCGUGGGGAGCAAACAGGAUUAGAUACCCGAGUAGUCCCUGUCUCUUAUAA